GACGAACGCUGGCGGCGUGCUUAACACAUGCAAGUCGAACGGAAAGGCCCUGCUUUUGUGGGGUGCUCGAGUGGCGAACGGGUGAGUAACACGUGAGUAACCUGCCCUUGACUUUGGGAUAACUUCAGGAAACUGGGGCUAAUACCGGAUAGGAGCUCCUGCUGCAUGGUGGGGGUUGGAAAGUUUCGGCGGUUGGGGAUGGACUCGCGGCUUAUCAGCUUGUUGGUGGGGUAGUGGCUUACCAAGGCUUUGACGGGUAGCCGGCCUGAGAGGGUGACCGGCAACAGGGGGAAGGAGAAACGGCCAAGACGCAUAGGGGAGGAAGAAGGGGGGAAUAUGGAAAAAGGGGGGGAAGCCUGAGGCAGAAACGCGGGGGGGGGGAUGAGGGCUUUGGGUUUGAAAACCGCUUGCGCCGGGGAAGAAGGGGGAGUGAGGGGAAGGGGAAAAGAAGACCGGGAAAACAACGUG
rnacentral:rRNA from 1 species